GAAAUGCGAUAAGUAGUGUGAAUUGCAGAAUUCAGUGAAUCAUCGAAUCUUUGAACGCACAUUGCGCCCCUUGGUAUUCCAUGGGGCAUGCCUGUUUGAGCGUCAUUUGUACCCUCAAGCUCUGCUUGGUGUUGGGUGUUUGUCCCGUCUCCGCGCGUGGACUCGCCCCAAAGUGAUUGGCAGCCGGCGUACUGGUCCCGGAGCGCAGCACAUGUCGCGCAAACGAGUGCCUUGGUACGUCGGCGUCCAUAAGCCCCUCUCUCACGCUCUUGACCUCGGAUCAGGUAGGGAUACCCGCUGAACUUAAGC
rnacentral:misc_RNA from 1 species